rnacentral:SRP_RNA from 1 species
ACUGGGCAUGGUGGUGCAUGUCUGUAAUCCCAGCUACUGGGGAGGCUCAAUGGCUGUCUGGGAACUCAGGACCUGCUGUGAGCUAAACCAGUCAGGUGUCCACACUAAGUGUAGCAUUAAUAUGAUACACCAGGCAUAGAGGCCACCAGAUUGCCUAAGGAGAUCUAACUGGGCCAGGUAAGAAACAGAGCAGGUAAAAGCUCCCAUGCCAGUCCACAAUGCUAUGGCCCAUGAGUAGCCCCUGCACUUCCACUCUAGGCAAGAUUUGGGGA